AGAGUUUGAUCCUGGCUCAGGAUGAACGCUGGCGGCGUGCUUAACACAUGCAAGUCGAACGAAGCACUUUAUUUGAUUUCCUUCGGGACUGAUUAUUUUGUGACUGAGUGGCGGACGGGUGAGUAACGCGUGGGUAACCUGCCUUGUACAGGGGGAUAACAGUUGGAAACGGCUGCUAAUACCGCAUAAGCGCACAGCAUCGCAUGAUGCAGUGUGAAAAACUCCGGUGGUAUAAGAUGGACCCGCGUUGGAUUAGCUAGUUGGUGAGGUAACGGCCCACCAAGGCGACGAUCCAUAGCCGACCUGAGAGGGUGACCGGCCACAUUGGGACUGAGACACGGCCCAAACUCCUACGGGAGGCAGCAGUGGGGAAUAUUGCACAAUGGGCGAAAGCCUGAUGCAGCGACGCCGCGUGAGCGAAGAAGUAUUUCGGUAUGUAAAGCUCCAUCAGCAGGGAAGAUAAUGACGGUACCUGACUAAGAAGCACCGGCUAAAUACGUGCCAGCAGCCGCGGUAAUACGUAUGGUGCAAGCGUUAUCCGGAUUUACUGGGUGUAAAGGGAGCGCAGGCGGUGCGGCAAGUCUGAUGUGAAAGCCCGGGGCUCAACCCCGGUACUGCAUUGGAAACUGUCGUACUAGAGUGUCGGAGGGGUAAGCGGAAUUCCUAGUGUAGCGGUGAAAUGCGUAGAUAUUAGGAGGAACACCAGUGGCGAAGGCGGCUUACUGGACGAUAACUGACGCUGAGGCUCGAAAGCGUGGGGAGCAAACAGGAUUAGAUACCCUGGUAGUCCACGCCGUAAACGAU
rnacentral:rRNA from 1 species